rnacentral:rRNA from 1 species
GAUGAACGCUGGCGGCGUGCCUAAUACAUGCAAGUCGAGCGAACAGAUAAGGAGCUUGCUCCUUUGACGUUAGCGGCGGACGGGUGAGUAACACGUGGGUAACCUACCUAUAAGACUGGAAUAACUCCGGGAAACCGGGGCUAAUGCCGGAUAACAUUUUGAACCGCAUGGUUCUACAGUGAAAGGCGGCUUUGCUGUCACUUAUAGAUGGACCCGCGCCGUAUUAGCUAGUUGGUGAGGUAACGGCUCACCAAGGCAACGAUACGUAGCCGACCUGAGAGGGUGAUCGGCCACACUGGAACUGAGACACGGUCCAGACUCCUACGGGAGGCAGCAGUAGGGAAUCUUCCGCAAUGGGCGAAAGCCUGACGGAGCAACGCCGCGUGAGUGAUGAAGGUCUUCGGAUCGUAAAACUCUGUUAUUAGGGAAGAACAAAUGCGUAAGUAACUGUGCGCGUCUUGACGGUACCUAAUCAGAAAGCCACGGCUAACUACGUG